rnacentral:rRNA from 1 species
UGGCGGACGGGUGAGUAACGCGUGGGCAACCUGCCCCAUACAGGGGGAUAACAGCCGGAAACGGCUGCUAAAACCGCAUAAGCGCACAAGGGCCGCAUGGCCUGGUGUGAAAAACUCCGGUGGUAUGGGAUGGGCCCGCGUCUGAUUAGCUAGUUGGCGGGGGAGAGGCCCACCAAGGCGACGAUCAGUAGCCGGCCUGAGAGGGUGAACGGCCACAUUGGGACUGAGACACGGCCCAAACUCCUACGGAAGGCAGCAG